rnacentral:rRNA from 1 species
CCACCUAGUCUUCGAUGGAUAGGGGUUCUGAGAGGAAGGUCCCCCACAUUGGAACUGAGACACGGUCCAAACUCCUACGGGAGGCAGCAGUGAGGAAUAUUGGUCAAUGGACGAGAGUCUGAACCAGCCAAGUAGCGUGAAGGAUGACUGCCCUAUGGGUUGUAAACUUCUUUUAUACGGGAAUAAAGUGAGGCACGUGUGCCUUUUUGUAUGUACCGUAUGAAUAAGGAUCGGCUAACUCCGUGCCAGCAGCCGCGGUAAUACGGAGGAUCCGAGCGUUAUCCGGAUUUAUUGGGUUUAAAGGGAGCGUAGAUGGAUGUUUAAGUCAGUUGUGAAAGUUUGCGGCUCAACCGUAAAAUUGCAGUUGAUACUGGGUGUCUUGAGUACAGUAGAGGCAGGCGGAAUUCGUGGUGUAGCGGUGAAAUGCUUAGAUAUCACGAAGAACUCCGAUUGCGAAGGCAGCCUGCUAAGCUGCAACUGACAUUGAGGCUCGAAAGUGUGGGUAUCAAACAGGAUUAGAUACCCUGGUAGUCCACACGGUAAACGAUGAAUACUCGCUGUUUGCGAUAUACAGCAAGCGGCCAAGCGAAAGCGUUAAGUAUUCCACCUGGGGAGUACGCCGGCAACGGUGAAACUCAAAGGAAUUGACGGGGGCCCGCACAAGCGGAGGAACAUGUGGUUUAAUUCGAUGAUACGCGAGGAACCUUACCCGGGCUUAAAUUGCAGAUGAAUUACGGUGAAAGCCGUAAGCCGCAAGGCAUCUGUGAAGGUGCUGCAUGGUUGUCGUCAGCUCGUGCCGUGAGGUGUCGGCUUAAGUGCCAUAACGAGCGCAACCCUUAUCGAUAGUUACCAUCAGGUUAUGCUGGGGACUCUGUCGAGACUGCCGUCGUAAGAUGUGAGGAAGGUGGGGAUGACGUCAAAUCAGCACGGCCCUUACGUCCGGGGCUACACACGUGUUACAAUGGGGGGUACAGAAGGCAGCUACACGGCGACGUGAUGCUAAUCCCUAAAGCCUCUCUCAGUUCGGAUUGGAGUCUGCAACCCGACUCCAUGAAGCUGGAUUCGCUAGUAAUCGCGCAUCAGCCACGGCGCGGUGAAUACGUUCCCGGGCCUUGUACACACCGCCCGUCAAGCCAUGAAAGCCGGGGG